UCCGUGGACUAUGGUACUACAGACUCUUGGAGCGUCGCUAACGAUGGAAAACGAUCAUUGAUCACAAUAAUCACAAUUGAUCAUUAUUGUUUAUUACAGUGUCACUCUGAAUUGCGUUUUGAUUGUAGGCGGCAGGCAUGCCAACAAUUCUGUAACAAAGAGCUGAAGAAAUAUUUCCUGCUGUGAGAGAAAUCAUGAACUGUUCCAAUUCAGAGAAAGUUUUAGUGGGUCCAUAUGGUGAGACGUACCCAGCAAGUCGUCAUGCAAACCAGGCCAUGAAUAUAAAAGCUGAGGAAGUCUCUGAGUCACAAGAGGAAGCAGAUCCUCUGCAAAUAACAAUUCAGGAAAUAAAGGUUGAACCUGAGGUGAGUUGUAUGUCUCUGUAUGUCCACUGUUAGGCACAUAUCACAAAUGUGUAGAAAUGCCAGUUGUCUGUCUCAUCUCCAUCUGUCUGGCUGUCUUGUCUUUUCUGUGGACAUGAAACAACUCCACUCUGCUGCCAGCUGGCCUUUGAAGACCUGUUUCUGAAGUGUCUCUGGACAGUUGUAGUUAGUCGAAUAUUGCUUGUGAUGUGCCACUUCCGUUUCCUUUUAAGCAGUUGUAAUGUAGAUGAAAUUAAUUAUUGUGUAAACUGAACAGUGUUUCAGA